UGUUAAGCGUGUCUGUAUUUAUGUGUGA
rnacentral:piRNA from 2 species